GACGAACGCUGGCGGCGUGCCUAAUACAUGCAAGUCGAACGAGUGGCGGACGGGUGAGUAAUGUAUGGGGAACUGCCCGAUAGAAGGGGAUAACUACUGGAAACGGUGGCUAAUACCCCAUAUCAUCUGAUGAACCCAUAUGGGAUUGGCUUGUAGGUGGGGUAAAGGCUCACCUAGGCGACGAACUCUAGCUGGGCUGAGAGGAGGAUCGGCCACACUGGGACUGAGACACGGCCCAGACUCCUACGGGAGGCAGCAGUGGGGAAUAUUGGGCAAUGGGCGCAAGCCUGAUGCAGCCAUGCCGCGUGAAUGAAGAAGGCCUUAGGGUUGUAAAGUACUUUCAGCAGGGAGGCGUUACCCACAGAAGAAGCACCGGCUAACUCCGUGCCAGCCGCCGCGGUAAUUC
rnacentral:rRNA from 1 species